GCCACGGUGCCUGUUGCUGCCGACGCCGCCGUAGGACCCGCCGUUUCCCCAAGCGGGGUGGAGAAGAGGCGGGAGCCUAGGGGACGGCCCUCCUCCCGACCCCCUGCUGUGGGAAGCGCGCAGCCUGCAGGCUCGAUGGACUUCCCGCUCGCCCAGGCCGUCCCCAGGCUGCCCCGGAGCACCUGCGCGCCCCCGCCGGGCCCCGCGCUCUGAGCGCGCCGCCGCACAGGAUUCUGCGCCAGACACACGUAAAAUACAUUGCUUGGUCUAAAAUACAAAAGAGUGGCAACAUUUUGCUGAGUUUCCAGACCUUUCCCAAGAUGGAUCCAAUAACGUUCACAGCGAAGAAACAUCUGUUUCCUAAUGAGGUCUGGGUGGACUUCGGUCUCCAGCUGGUGGGCUCCUUGCCCGUGCAUUCCCUGACCACCAUGCCUAUGCUGCCAUGGGUCGUGGCAGAGGUGCGACGGCUUAGCGGGCAGUCCUCCACAAAGGAGCCUGGUAGCAAGCAAGUCCGGCUCUGCGUUUCGCCCUCUGGACUGAGAUGUGAACCUGAGCCAGGAAAAAGUCAACAAUGGGACCCCCUGAUCUGUUCCAGCAUCUUCGAGUGUAAGCCUCAACAUGUACAUAAACUGAUUCACAACAGUCACGACCCAAGUUACUUUGCUUGCCUGAUUAAGGACGAUGCAGCCAAUAAGCGGAGUAUCUGCUAUGUGUUCAAAGCCGAUGAUCAAACAAAAAAUCCCCAUGCCUAGAAGAGUGUUCAACACGUAUGAGGCAGUUGAUAAAUACUUCUUCACUGAGUGAAUGAAUGAACAAACUGUGGAUCAGUGUUCUUGGCUCCAAGAACCCAACCUGGCUGAUGGAAGCAGAAAAAGGAUUUCCUGGAAGAAGAUAGAGUAGUUCACAGAAUCAACAUAAAGACCAGAGAAUCAAGUCCAGCAAAUAAACAGCAACCCACGGCUGCCAGGCAAGUGGCGCCGUGGCCAAUUGCAUCACAGGCAUACCCUGCUAAGGACACUGCCGCUGGCACCACUGCUGUCAGAUGCUGCUGUCCCUGGCACUGCCACCACUGGUCAUUAGCUGCGGUGCCUCAUAGACUCUAACACCACUGCCCUCCUUGUGGGUCAGGCAGGUCUCCCUGACCCUGUAACCUGGCUUGACUUUUUCAAGAUUCAAAGUCCCAGACGGAAAUACCUUGACCGGCUGAACCAAGGUCUACUGCCUGCUCGCAGUGUCCAAAAGCAGAAGAGAGUGAAUGUUUGUCCCCCGUCAGCAGAGGGGGCCAUGCUUCCGCCUGUGUUAGGAUUUUUCCCUUCAUAAGACAGUCAUUCAGUGCUGGGCAGCCUGAAAAGCUCUAAGUGUUCACGAUGCGAGGCCUAGACCAAAAAAAAAAAAAAAUCAGAAUCAAGGAAGUUUUUCUCUCAUGUAAAAUAUUUUCUCAUAACUGCUCACUCUUAAAAAUACAAACAUGUCUUCUCAGAGACAUGCACUAAGGCCCUGUAUAUGAUGAAGACAUAUUAUAGUAUAAUGUAUGGUUUGCUGGAAUAUAGUGUAACAAUGUAUAUUUAGCUAUGUUUUUAUUAAGUAUUAUAAAUCUCUAUUUCUUAUAAUUCAAAAAAAAAAUCAGUUCAGAAACUUAUAAGGUAUAAAAUGCAAGUCCAGACUUUACUUCCCAAUCCCUAUUCCACCCCAAGAAAUAACCACUGUUUUCAGUUGGGGAUAUGCUCUCUCUCUCUUUUUUUUUUUAAUUGGGGAACAGUGUUUUUCCAGGACCCAUCAACUCCAAGUCAAGUAGUUGUUUCAAUCUAAUUGUGGAGGGCACAUCUCGGUGGCCCAUUUAGGGAUCUAACCGGCAACUUCGGUGUUAUGAGCACUGUGCUCUAACCACCUGAGCUAACCAGCCGCCCCUGGGGAUACGCUGUUACACACUUCUUCAAAAAACUCCUUGGAUAAGAAUUGUAUCUUACUCUACACAGGGCUGGAUUUCAUGGCUAUUACUGGGUGCUUAUAAUUUACAUAUAAAGCUUGUUGUCUCAUACUUUUUUCUUGGGAAUAAAGUAACUGCUUGGAGUCUGGCGAUGUCAUUUUGAUGGGCGGGCACAAUCCGAGUUCUUUGGAGGGAAGGUGCCCACUCUGCCUUUGCCCUAAUUGAUUUGAGUUGCUGAGGGGACAACUUCCUGUUCAGGAUGCCUCGUGUGGAGAGUUCUGUUCUUAAAAAACAAAACUUAUCUGAAAUGAUAUUUUGCUGGGAUUUUAAAGAAAUAAAGUGCUAGAAGGAAGCCAUCCUCCUCUGACCCUCGGGGAAGUUAUUCUGGGUGUGUAGCUGUGAAUAUUCCCUGUUGUGUUGGGGGUUCACUGGUCCGUAGCACCCAGGAAGCAGCGCUUAGGCACUCCACAGUGGUGGGGCAAUGCAAACACAAGACGUUUUGAUAUCAGUUUUGCAGAAAGAAGAGAGUUGUUGCUCCAAUAAACAAUUUGAAUUUUAAUAAAGUAGAACUACUUGUUAAAAAUCUUAUUUGUAAGAAAUAUAUUUAAAAAGCAUGUUAAAGUUGUAUACUCAAGGGAGGUUGGCUAAACACAUCUCAGGUUAUUACCUGGCUGACCCAAAUCGGUCACUGAGAUUGGCCCCAAUAAGGCUUUGUUCUGGUAUCCAGUGUGGCCACUCAAGAACCUAGAAGCAAAAUCUAGCACUUCAUUCGAGCCUGCUUUGCUCUGUGCUAUCACAUGCCCAGGUUUCUAUCAAUGAAAGAUGUUGCAUAUGUAGUUUUUGAACAGUGCCAUGUGCUUCUACUUUACCAAACAAGCCCUUCAAAGUAUUUCUCCACAGAAGGGAACAGAUCCGAUAAUAUUAAGAUAUGACAUCCAGGAUUCCCAUCCAAAACCUUUAUGCCUGAAAUCAAUGCCAUAAUCAUACCUAAACUGGAAGCAGUUUUGUUUUAUACUCAUUGAAAUGGGACAUGUUUUAGGUCUUUUUGACAGAAUCUAAUGAAGAGAUAUGGAUUGAAAUUUUAAAAUGUGGAUUAAUUGAGACAAUUCCAUUUUGGAAUCACAGCCAAAAUAAGUCAGCUGUGAAUCAACUGAAAACAUGUGGACAUUUUGAGUGAUGAUAACAGAGAAGAGCCUUCAUUAAAAAUAUUAUUUUACAGCAUAUAAUUAUAACAAAAUUAUAAUGACUAUGACA